GUAAAAUGAAAGCAGCCCUGCCAUUUCUUAUACUGUUCGGGUAAAAUGAAAGCUGCCCUGCCAUUUCUUAUACUGCUGAGGUAAAAUGAAAGCUGCGUAGUGAAUUGCUGCUAUUUGUUAUACUGCUGAGCGGUGUCACGCCGCCUCAUCUGAUCGCAACCAAACUUCACAGAAACAGUCCUCAGACUAUACUAUACUUUCACUGAAAAUUUGAUCAAAAUCGGUUGAGCGGUUUAGAAGUCCACAGGGAACAUACAUACAGUUCAAAUGCAGAAACAAAUGAAACCCACUCCAUGACAUUGGAACUUAAAAGAGUAGUAUUGACAAAUAGGUUUACUUUGCCACCUAGUGUUCACUUUGUGUAUUACAUUGCCCAUACCAUGAGUUGACGGAAUAAAAACGUGUAUGUAAAUCCCACCUAUUACAUCUGGAUCCAAUUGUGUCUCAAUGCUUGGCUGCAUUUGUCAGAAAUAUUACAAUCACCAAUGUUUCUAUUAAAAUGUAAGAUUAUGUCAUAGAACUGGUUAGCAUUCUGAAC